rnacentral:rRNA from 1 species
GACGAACGCUGGCGGCGUGCCUAAUACAUGCAAGUUGAGCGCUGAAGGUUGGUACUUGUACCAACUGGAUGAGCAGCGAACGGGUGAGUAACGCGUGGGGAAUCUGCCUUUGGGCGGGGGACAACAUUUGGAAACGAAUGCUAAUACCGCAUAAAAACUUUAAACACAAGUUUUAAGUUUGAAAGAUGCAAUUGCAUCACUCAAAGAUGAUCCCGCGUUGUAUUAGCUAGUUGGUGAGGUAAAGGCUCACCAAGGCGAUGAUACAUAGCCGACCUGAGAGGGUGAUCGGCCACAUUGGGACUGAGACACGGCCCAAACUCCUACGGGAGGCAGCAGUAGGGAAUCUUCGGCAAUGGACGAAAGUCUGACCGAGCAACGCCGCGUGAGUGAAGAAGGGUUUCGGAUCGUAAAACUCGGUUGGUAGAGAAGAACGUUGGUGAGAGUGGAAAGCUCAUCAAGUGACGGUAACUACCCAGAAAGGGACGGCUAACUACGUG